rnacentral:rRNA from 1 species
GGUUAAGUGACUAAGCGUACACGGUGGAUGCCUUGGCAGUUGGAGGCGAUGAAGGACGUAUUAACUUGCGAUAAGCCUAGUCAAGCUAGUAAAAAGCGCUUGAGACUAGGAUUUCCGAAUGGGGAAACCCACCUGCUUGCAGGUAUCGUUAACUGAAUACAUAGGUUAACGAGGCGAACGCGGAGAACUGAAACAUCUAAGUACCCGUAGGAAAAGAAAUCAACCGAGAUUCCGAAAGUAGCGGCGAGCGAAAUCGGAACAGCCCUUAAGCUUAUUAUGUGUUAAUGGAAGGCUCUGGAAAGUGCCACGAUACAGGGUGAUAGUCCCGUACAUGAAAAGACAUUUUAAGUGAAAUCGAGUAGGUCGGAGCACGUGAAACUUUGACUGAAUAUAGGUGGACCAUCAUCUAAGGCUAAAUACUCCCAACUGACCGAUAGUGAACCAGUACCGUGAGGGAAAGGCGAAAAGAACCCCUGUGAGGGGAG